AGUCUCAAGUACAUAGCGAGACCCUGUCUCAAAAAACUAAAAAAAACAAAACAAAACAAAAAAAACUAUGACCUCACAGUCCCUUUUCCUAGGAGAGAGCGCUCUGGCGGAGGAUGCUGCUGAGGGGAACCAGCUUUCAGGGGCUGCCUGGCACUUCCUGUCCCUGUUCACAUGAACAAGGACUCAAGGCACAGCAAAAUAAUGGUAUGGUACUAAAAAACAACAACAACAAGCCCGAGCGUGCUCCUCGGCGCAGCACCAAAGCCCGUGACUUCCUCGUCCCCCGGUCCCAGACCUGGCCUCACGGCCACACGUGGUCACGACAGCCCCGUAUCACUAUCCUACCAGGGCCACAAACGCCAACUUCCCAGGCUUCACGUCAAGGUCCUGCCCUCCGUUCUGAAGAGUAAACAAGCCCAGGCCACCCCAGGCCAGCACUGGACCUCCCAGCACACGAUCACGCCUGCUCCGCUCCAUGAGUGUCCACGGGGCAGUGCCUACCGAAGCCGCUUCCUUCCCUCUGUCCACGGCCACUGUCCUGGCAGAGAGGCCCCUCAUCUCUACUCUCCAGUGAGCUGCAGCUCCCUGCUCUCCACACUCACCCAGUCACGUCUCAAACCCCAGGGAUUACGACCAUACAAACCCUUUGGGGAACAGUGAAGUGCAACUAAGUCUAACUGCUGACUGUUUCGGUUCUCGGCCUUCAUAGAUACCACGGCAGAGAAACAUGUAUCCCAGUGCUGAACUGACUCAUGGAAGGAGUGCUACAUUUACUCAAUCAGAAGACCCGUUUUUUAAGCCCAACUAAUGAUUUAGUAUUUGUUUCCAUUCCCUGAAUGCUUACUUUUUCUAGGCUUGCUUGGGUUUCAUUCUAUCAUUAGCUAAUAUCUCAAGCACAAUAUAUACUUAGACAUGAUUCACAAAUUUUAAAAAAUUGAUUUGUAGGCUUAUAUCCACAAGUAUGGAUCAAGCUAUCCUCUUGAUAAUGUCCAAACAUUCAGGCCAACACCUUGUCAGGUAUGAUUACCUGCUUGCAGGUAUGAUACCUCUUUGACUACCAAAGAGCUCUAACUAAGAAUAAAAGCAGUGGUGGCGAACUCAUGGCAUGUGGUGUUUUUCUUGUAAGAAAAAAGCCAUUAAUGGAUGAGUUGUUUUUCCCAAACUAAAAACCUCAGUAUUCAGGUUCACUUACAAUGUUAGCACUUUGCAAUAAAUAAGUGGGUUUUGGGUUGUAGUUUGGGCACUCCUCUCUGAAAGGUUUGCCAUCACUGGAAUAAAAGUAUCAGCUAAGUUAUUUAUCCUCACCGACGCUAUUAAAAUCAUAUUGAAAGAAGUUUUCAAGCCACCGUCCUUUUUGUUUUUGUUUUUAGCACUUUAAGGUUCAAAACAAAAGGCAGAGAGGAAGGUACAGAUUUGUCAUUCACCUCUCCCAUACAUGCACUGUAUGACUGGUUAAUCUCCAAAGGAGAGUUUGACAGGGGUGACACGAAUUGCCAUGGACUAGAGGCUAUGUGCCCUGAGCAAAGAGCCAAGGGGGACUAGAGAGGGAACACAGGAGGGUACCAGGGGUGGGACAACACAGCAAAUGGCCCUUGCUAGGAAUGUGGGUCCUCUUUCAUAGAGGACCAGCAGUAUCACUUCUAGUUGCUCAAUAAACAAACAGUAAGUGAACAAAAGUAAGUACCAAUAAAUGGUGACAGGUAUCAGGAAUGAGGUAGAGAUUCCCACACUCAUCACUCCUAUUCAAUACAGACCUGGACAUCUUUGCCAGAGCUAUUAGUUAGACAAGGGAAGGAACAGAAUGGAUACAAAUAGGAAAGGAAGAAACCCUUCUUUUUGUGGUGUUUGUUUUUUGGUACUGGGGAUUGAGCUUGGACCCUUGAACUUACAAGGCAGGAGGCAGAACCCCCUGGGCCAAAUCCCUGGCCCCAAAGCCAUGUGAUUCUGGACAAAGGAGAAAAAAAUACAGGUUAGACUGGAUACCACCUGGCAGAAGACUGAAACUAGACUCUAUCUCUUACCUCACACAAAAAUUGAUUCAAAAUGUAUCAAAGACCUAGGUAUAAGACCUGAAACUUC
ensembl:lincRNA